rnacentral:rRNA from 1 species
ACGGGUUGCGUAACGCGUGGGAAUCUGCCCUUUGGUUCGGAAUAACAGUUGGAAACGACUGCUAAUACCGGAUGAUGACGUAAGUCCAAAGAUUUAUCGCCAGAGGAUGAGCCCGCGUAGGAUUAGCUAGUUGGUGCGGUAAGAGCGCACCAAGGCGACGAUCCUUAGCUGGUCUGAGAGGAUGAUCAGCCACACUGGGACUGAGACACGGCCCAGACUCCUACGGGAGGCAGCAGUGGGGAAUAUUGGACAAUGGGCGAAAGCCUGAUCCAGCAAUGCCGCGUGAGUGAUGAAGGCCUUAGGGUUGUAAAGCUCUUUUACCCGGGAUGAUAAUGACAGUACCGGGAGAAUAAGCUCCGGCUAACUCCGUGCCAGCAGCCGCGGUAAUACGGAGGGAGCUAGCGUUGUUCGGAAUUACUGGGCGUAAAGCGCACGUAGGCGGCUUUGUAAGUUAGAGGUGAAAGCCUGGAGCUCAACUCCAGAAUUGCCUUUAAGACUGCAUCGCUUGAAUCCAGGAGAGGUGAGUGGAAUUCCGAGUGUAGAGGUGAAAUUCGUAGA